GGAAMKAAAMCAACASGGANUUCCUUAGUAACGGCGAGCGAAAAGGGAAAAGUCCAGCGCCGAAUCCCAUGCCCGAGAGGGUGUCGGGAAAUGUGGCGUAUGGGAGUGAGCGUACCGGAGGUAGACCGGAGCAGCAAGUCCCCCUGACCGGGGCUCUUUCCCAGAGUGGGUGCCAGGCCCAUAGCUGCCGGAGUCUCCUUCGGUUGCGAUCUCCUAAGAGUCGGGUUGUUUGGAAGUACAGCCCUAAUCAGGUGGUAAACUCCAUCUAAGACUAAAUACUGCCGUGAGACCGAUAGCAAACAAGUACCGUGAGGGAAAGUUGCAAAGAACUUUGAAGAGAGAGUUCAAGAGUACGUGAAACUGCUCAGAGGAAAACGGGUGGACCCACGAAGUCCUGUGGCGGGAGGAUUCAGUCCGGAGACACUCGUAGCCGCCUCGCUAUUCAGAAGGACCCAUUCACCGGGCCGAGCGAGGCGGCGAGCGUGGCCGACGGACGCAUUUCUUUCCCGCCCGUAAGGACGCCGCGACCGGUUGGUCGACUCGAUCUGAAGUACGACCGCUGGCAGGUGGCCGGAGGAAAAUUUUAAAGUUUCCCGCCGGUGUCUAGCCUGGUACGUAGCACGAUCGAGUCCCGACCGGGUUGGAUGCGGCCCUUUAUUGGGCCGUGACGCCUCCUCCUUUAAAACGAAGCGAGUCGACGCGGCAGGUGAGACGCUUUCGGGCCGAGCGCACGGACUGACUCCGUGGCCAAGCCGAUCGACGUCCCCGCUGGCUGCGCUGGACUUCGCAGACGGACCAAGGAGUUUAACAUGUAUGCGAGUCACUGGGACUCGACAAAGCCCAAAGGCGCAAUGAAAGUAACAUUUCAUGAGUUGGGAUCCUCUCUCUUUUAUAGAAGGGGCGCACCAACGGCCCGUCACGUCCUAUUUACUUAGGUGUGACGGAGUCAGAGCAUACACGUUAUGACCCGAAAGAUGGUGAGCUAUGCCCGGGCAGGACGAAGCCAGAGGAAACUCUGGUGGAGGUCCGCCGCGGUUCUGACGUGCAAAUCGAUCGUCAGACCCGUGUAUAGCGGCGAAAGACCAAUCGAACCAUCUAGUAGCUGGUUCCCUCCGAAGUUUCCCUCAGGAUAGCUGGCGCUCGUAUAUAUCAGUCUCAUCCGGUAAAGCGAAUGAUUAGAGGCCUUGGGGCCGAAACGACCUCAACCUAUUCUCAAACUUUAAAUGGGUGAUGAACCUACCUUUCAUGACUGAAGGUAAGGUGACCGAUGAGAGUGCCCAGUGGGCCACUUUUGGUAAGCAGAACUGGCGCUGUGGGAUGAACCAAACGCCGGGUUAAGGCGCCCGAUGCGAGACGCUCAUGAGACCCCAUGAAAGGUGUUGGUUGCUCUAGACAGCUGGGCGGUGUCCAUGGAAGUCGGUAUCCGCUAAGGAGUGUGUAACAACUCACCAGCCGAAGCAACUAGCCCUGAAAAUGGAUGGCGCUCCAGCGUCGAGCCCAUACCCGGCCGCUUCGGCAGAACUUC
rnacentral:rRNA from 1 species